AAGAAAUAUAAAUUCAAAAGUUCAGGAUCUGCAAAACAAGGCAAGUCGCAAAAGAGGCUUAAGCAAAAUUCUGAUGAUGAAGUAGAAGAACAGUUGAGCACAUUAGUCUUUGAUGAUUAUUGGAGUUUAAUCUGGAAAAGAAUACCUUCAGAGAGAAUAGAGGGAUGUGUGUAUUACCAUCCUUUAUCUUUUCGAAGCUAUUUGACUGAAAAAUCAGUUAAAAAACUGAAAAAAUGGGUAUCAAGACAUAAAGUGUUCUCAAGCAGAUAUGUCUUCAUUCCAAUGUGCCAAUCAAAUCACUGGAACAUGCUCAUUAUAUGCAACAUUGGCGAGGAUAUGAAUUCUAAAACAAAUAGUCCAUGCAUGUUCUUAUUGGACUCGCUUCAAAUCGGUGAAGCUACAAGACU